rnacentral:rRNA from 1 species
GACGAACGCUGGCGGCGUGCUUAACACAUGCAAGUCGAACGGAAAGGCCCUGCUUUUGUGGGGUGCUCGAGUGGCGAACGGGUGAGUAACACGUGUGUAACCUGUCCUUGACUUUGGGAUAACUUCAGGAAACUGGGGCUAAUACCGGAUAGGAGCUCCUGCUGCAUGGUGGUGGUUGGAAAGUUUCGGCGGUUGGGGAUGGUCUCGCGGCUUCUCAGCUUCUUUGUGGGGUAGUUGCUUACCAAGGUUUUGACGGGUAGCCGGCCUGGGCGGGUGACCGGCCACAUUGGGACUGAGAUACGGACCAGACUCCUACGGGAGGCAGCAGUGGGGAAUAUUGCACAAUGGGCGGAAGCCUGAUGCAGCAACGCCGCGUGCGGGAUGACGGCCUUCGGGUUGUAAACCGCUUUCGCCUGUGACGAAGCGUGAGUGACGGUAAUGGGUAAAGAAGCACCGGCUAACUACGUG